rnacentral:lncRNA from 1 species
GCCGUUAUGCGUUGCAGUGGGGGUGGGGGUGGGAGCUCGUCUUGCCGCCACGCAAGGCAUGGAGGGGUCACGACCUGCAGAUGGCCGCCAUGAGCUCCCUCAGCUCCUGUAGCGAGGAGGGAGAUGACCCGGUUGGGCUGGGCCUCCCUUAUACACUAAAAUGCCCAGUCCAACAGUGUUUUCCUUUUUGUUCGAUUUCAUUUUCUCUUUUGUUUAUUUCUCUCUAUUUUUCAUUUUAAGUAUCUACAAAAUGAUUUUAGUUACAGCCCAAACUUUUUACAUUAUACUCCCUCCGUCUUAAAAUAAC